CCUACGGGUGACAGCAGUGAGGAAUAUUGGUCAAUGGACGAGAGUCUGAAGCAGCCAAGUAGCGUGAAUGAUGACGGCCCUAGGUGUGGUAAACUUCUUUUAUAAAGGAAUAAAACGCGGCACGUGUGCCUUUUGGCAUGUACUUUAUGAAUAAGGAUCGGCUAACUACGUGCCAGCAGCCGCGGUAAUACGGAGGAUCCGAGCGUUAUCCGGAUUUAUUGGGUGGAAAGGGAGCGUAGAUGGGUUGUUAAGUCAGGUGUGAAAGUUCGCGGCUCAACCGUAAAAUUGCAAUUGAUACUGGCAGUCUGGAGUACAGUUGAGGUAGGCGGAAUUCGUGGUGUAGCGGUGAAAUGCUUAGAUAUCACGAAGAACCCCGAUUGCGAAGGCAGCUUACUAAACUGUGACUGACAUUGAUGCUCGAAAGUGUGGGUAUCAAACAGGAUUAGAUACCCUUGUAGUC
rnacentral:rRNA from 1 species